UACGGAGGAUGCAAGCGUUAUCCGGAAUGAUUGGGCGUAAAGCGUCCGCAGGUGGCUGUGUAAGUCUGCUGUUAAAGACCGGGGCUUAACUUCGGAAAGGCAGUGGAAACUGAACAGCUAGAGUAUGGUAGGGGCAGAGGGAAUUCCUGGUGUAGCGGUGAAAUGCGUAGAGAUCAGGAAGAACAUCGGUGGCGAAGGCGCUCUGCUGGACCAUAACUGACACUCAGGGACGAAAGCUAGGGGAGCGAAUGGG
rnacentral:rRNA from 1 species